GAUGAAGAACGUAGCGAAAUGCGAUAAGUAGUGUGAAUUGCAGAAUUCAGUGAAUCAUCGAAUCUUUGAACGCACAUUGCGCCCCAUGGUAUUCCGUGGGGCAUGCCUGUUCGAGCGUCAUUUACCCCCUCAAGCUCCGCUUGGUGUUGGGCGUCUGUCCCGCUUCGCGCGCGGACUCGCCCCAAAGGUAUUGGCAGCGGUCGUGCCAGCUUCUCGCGCAGCACAUUGCGCUUCUCGAGGCACCGGUGGGCCCGCGUCCAUCAAGCUCACCCCCCCAGUUCGACCUCGGAUCAGGUAGGGAUACCCGCUGAACUUAAGCAUAUCAAUAAGCGGAGGA
rnacentral:misc_RNA from 1 species